rnacentral:rRNA from 1 species
GAUGAACGCUGGCGGCGUGCCUAAUACAUGCAAGUCGAGCGAACAGAUAAGGAGCUUGCUCCUUUGACGUUAGCGGCGGACGGGUGAGUAACACGUGGGUAACCUACCUAUAAGACUGGGAUAACUUCGGGAAACCGGAGCUAAUACCGGAUAACAUUGGUAACCGCAUGGUUCUAAAGUAGAAAGAAUGGUUUGUCUAUCACUUAUAGAUGGACCGCGCCGUAUUAGCUAGUUGGUAAGGUAACGGCUUACCAAGGCGACGAUACGUAGCCGACCUGAGAGGUGAUCGGCCGACACUGGAACUGAGACACGGUCCAGACUCCUACGGGAGGCAGCAGUAGGGAAUCUUCCGCAAUGGGCGAAAGCCUGACGGAGCAACGCCGCGUGAGUGAUGAAGGGUUUCGGCUCGUAAAAUCUGUUAUUAGGAAGAACAAAUGUGUAAGUAACUGUGCACGUCUUGACGGUACCU